GCGGACGUGGCGGAACGGUAGACGCAGCGGACUUAAAAUCCGCGUCUUUCGGGAGUGUGGGUUCGAUUCCCACCGUCCGCACCA
rnacentral:tRNA from 1 species